CCUACGGGAGGCAGCAGUGAGGAAUUUUCCGCAAUGGGCGAAAGCCUGACGGAGCAAUACCGCGUGAGGGAUGAAGGAUUUUGGUCUGUAAACCUCUUUUCUCAAGAAAGAAGUUCUGACGGUACUUGAGGAAUAAGCAUCGGCUAACUCCGUGCCAGCAGCCGCGGUAAUACGGGGGAUGCAAGCGUUAUCCGGAAUGAUUGGGCGUAAAGCGCCUGUAGGUUGUUUAUUAAGUCCGUUGUUAAAGCCUAGGGCUCAACCCUAGAAAAGCAAUGGAAACUAGUAGACUAGAGUAUGGCAGGGGUAGAGGGAAUUUCUAGUGUAGCGGUGAAAUGCGUAGAUAUUAGAAAGAACACCGGUGGCGAAAGCGCUCUACUGGACCAUUACUGACACUCAGAGGCGAAAGCUAGGGUAGCAAAAGGGAUUAGAUACCCCUGUAGUCCUAGCCGUAAACGAUGGAUACUAGAUGUUGUGCAUUAUGUACAGUAUCGUAGCUAACGCGUUAAGUAUCCCGCCUGGGGAGUACGCUCGCAAGGGUGAAACUCAAAGGAAUUGAGGCUGAGCNGCGACGCGACGACGAGGAGAG
rnacentral:rRNA from 1 species